rnacentral:rRNA from 1 species
GACGAACGCUGGCGGCGUGCUUAACACAUGCAAGUCGAACGGUAAGGCCCUUCGGGGUACACGAGUGGCGAACGGGUGAGUAACACGUGGGUGAUCUGCCCUGCACUUCGGGAUAAGCCUGGGAAACUGGGUCUAAUACCGGAUAGGACCCUGGGAUGCAUGUCCUGGGGUGGAAAGCUUUUGCGGUGUGGGAUGGGCCCGCGGCCUAUCAGCUUGUUGGUGGGGUGAUGGCCUACCAAGGCGACGACGGGUAGCCGGCCUGAGAGGGUGACCGGCCACACUGGGACUGAGAGACGGCCCAGACUCCUACGGGAGGCAGCAGUGGGGAAUAUUGCACAAUGGGCGCAAGCCUGGUGCAGCGACGCCGCGUGAGGGAUGACGGCCUUCGGGUUGUAAACCUCUUUCAGCACCGACGAAGCGCAAGUGACGGUAGGUGCAGAAGAAGGACCGGCCAACUACGUGCCAGCAGCCGCGGUAA